ensembl:lncRNA
CAAAAAGUUGACACAACAUUUUCUAAAAGUAAAUCUCAAGAGUCUACAAAGUUAAUCUGGAAGGCAUACAAAAAGUUCUCAGGAGUCCAUUCAAAAUCAAAAGAAAUGUCAAUACUUCCAAAAAGUAAUUCCCAUAGGUCCACAAAGUAAAUCCAUAAGGCAUUUAAAAAGUUCACAAAGAAAAGCUGUGAGUGACUCCAAACAGUUUCAAAGAGCACAUAAAAAAAUAAAAGAAAUAAAAUAAAAGAAACUAUCAAAACAGAAACUAUACCACAUGCACAAAGUUGUUUAAGGAUAAAUCCAUUAAGCAGGGCAUGAGACUACCUAGACUUGGUCAUGGCACGGGAAACAUUGACCAAAGUACUCAGGAGAAUACACAACCAGAAACAAGGCACAGGUGACAACUAUUAGACAUAAUAAUGACAGAGACUGAAACCCAACAAAAAGGCAGUGGGGGCCUCAAGUGGCCUGAAGUAAGUCCACAACCCUGACAGUGUAUCUCUGUAUGUUGCAGGGUGUUCAUAGUAAUUGUGGUGGGACUGCUGGUUGCAUGACUGGUAAUCAGGCCCGUCGCGACAAGGCAAGCAAACCAAGCAAACCAAGCAAUUGCUUGGGGCCCCGAGCUGGCCUGGGGCCCCAAGACAACGACUGGUUAAGAAUAAAAUGCAACGACACUGUGUGAGCGCCCCUUUGAUCGUCAAUGCAGUAAAGUGCAAUGACACUGUUAUCGGGAUCACCCUCAAGGGGGCCCCUCUCAGUAGUCGCUGACAGCAGCCAGCCAACCACGUGAUCUCUGCUGCCGGCAAAAUACAAAACCUCCUCGGCAGUCAUGAAGCGAAAUUAUGCUUCAGGAAGCCAGAUGAGAAAGAAGAGAAAGGAAGAGGAGGAUAAGAAAAAACAAGAUAGUGGUGCUUUGCUUAAAUUUCUCAGCCCUCAGGCUCUUCCUAAGGAUACCUCCACUGAUGAAGCUACACCAUCAACUUCAUCCUCAACAUCAACAGAUGCAUCACUUCUCAGUGCUGAUGUUUCCUCUAUACUGUAGCACAAGCUACACCGUCAAUACCAUCUCUCACAGUGGAAGACACUGCAUCCAGGUUUCCUCUACAGCUCAAGGUACCACAAGCACUGUCACUAUAGCUGAUGACCCUACGCAGUGGCCAGCAGUCCUGACUGAUAGUGUGCACUGUCAAAUUGUUAAAAAAAAAAAAAAAAAAAAAAGGACCAGUGCCAGUCACAAACAUUGUUUUCCCCCAAAAUUCUGAGAAUCCCCCUCGAAGAUUCACAAAUGACAA